rnacentral:misc_RNA from 1 species
GAUAGAACGCAGCGAAAUGCGAUAAGUAAUGUGAAUUGCAGAAUUCAGUGAAUCAUCGAAUCUUUGAACGCACAUUGCGCCCGCCAGUAUUCUGGCGGGCAUGCCUGUUCGAGCGUCAUUUCAACCAUCAAGCCCCCGGCUUGUGUUGGGGACCUGCGGCUGCCGCAGGCCCUGAAAAGCAGUGGCGGGCUCGCUGUCACACCGAGCGUAGUAGCAUACAUCUCGCUCUGGGCGUGCUGCGGGUUCCGGCCGUUAAACCACCUUCAUAACCCAAGGUUGACCUCGGAUCAGGUAGGAAGACCCGCUGAACUUAAGCAUAUCAAUAAGCGGAGGA